rnacentral:rRNA from 1 species
AGAUUAGAGUUUGAUCAUGGGCUCAGAUUGAACGCUGGCGUGCAAAGCCUAACACAUGCAAGUCGAGCGGAUGACGGGAGCUUGCUCCUUGAUUCAGCGGCGGACGGGUGAGUAAUGCCUAGGAAUCUGCCUGGUAGUGGGGGACAACGUUUCGAAAGGAACGCUAAUACCGCAUACGUCCUACGGGAGAAAGCAGGGGGACCUUCGGGCCUUGCGCUAUCAGAUGAGCCUAGGUCGGAUUAGCUAGUUGGUGGGGUAAUGGCUCACCAAGGCGACGAUCCGUAACUGGUCUGAGAGGAUGAUCAGUCACACUGGAACUGAGACACGGUCCAGACUCCUACGGGAGGCAGCAGUGGGGAAUAUUGGACAAUGGGCGAAAGCCUGAUCCAGCCAUGCCGCGUGUGUGAAGAAGGUCUUCGGAUUGUAAAGCACUUUAAGUUUGGGACGGAAGGGCAGUAAGUUAAUACCUUGCUGUUUUGACGUUACCGACAGAAUAAGCACCGGCUAACUCUGUGCCAGGCAGCCGCGGUAAUACAGAGG